AUUUCUCUCCGAAUUCCCAACACCCGGCACUGCAGUAAAUAUUUAACAGGUUACUUUAAGGGAUAAACCGUUUGCUAUUAAAACCUAUGAGGUGGGGGCUGGGGAAGGGAACGGCAUUUGAUGGGGAGACGAGAAUUGUUGGCACCUGGAUGGUAAAUCUUCAAGUUACUGUGAAACAAGAUCACAAACCAAAAAGUAACAUAGGAAAUACUAAAGACUGGAACAUUUUAUCAGAUUUUACUCAGUUUCAUAUACAGAAGGCUAUAGGACUGUUUUGCCGGAUUCUAAAUGACAACUUUUAAAUCAGAGCCUUGAAAUCUACAGAAGUCCAAUAUAUACUGAGGAACAAAGGGAAUGUGGAAAUGAAAGAGAGAGGGAGAGAGAGGCUGGCAGAUGUAAUGAGACGCGGUGAAGGUGUACGCAGACUGGCACUCCCACUCCUCCCUUCUGCUCUCACUGCAGCCCUGGGUAACUCGCAGGCUAACACAAACAGCUUUUCUCCCGCAGCCUGCCCUCUGUCACUGUCACUUUCAUGAAUUCAAAGGCAAUUUACCAGUGAUUUCUGGGUGCUGGG
rnacentral:sRNA from 1 species